UAGGGAAUCUUCGGCAAUGGACGAAAGUCUGACCGAGCAACGCCGCGUGAGUGAAGAAGGUUUUCGGAUCGUAAAACUCUGUUGUUAGAGAAGAACAAGGACGUUAGUAACUGAACGUCCCCUGACGGUAUCUAACCAGAAAGCCACGGCUAACUACGUGCCAGCAGCCGCGGUAAUACGUAGGUGGCAAGCGUUGUCCGGAUUUAUUGGGCGUAAAGCGAGCGCAGGCGGUUUCUUAAGUCUGAUGUGAAAGCCCCCGGCUCAACCGGGGAGGGUCAUUGGAAACUGGGAGACUUGAGUGCAGAAGAGGAGGGUGGAAUUCCAUGUGUAGCGGUGAAAUGCGUAGAUAUAUGGAGGAACACCAGUGGCGAAGGCGGCUCUCUGGUCUGUAACUGACGCUCAGGUGCGAAAGCGUGGGGAGCAAACAGGA
rnacentral:rRNA from 1 species